UCUGGUUGAUCCUGCCGGACCUGACUGCUAUCGGAUUGGUACUAAGCCAUGCGAGUCAUUGUAGCAAUACAAGGCGGACGGCUCAGUAACACGUAGUCAACCUAACUCGUGGACGUGGAUAACCUCGGGAAACUGAGAAUAAACCACGAUAGAUCAUAGUGCCUGGAAUGGCUUAUGGUCCAAACAGUUUACUGCCAUGGGAUGGGACUGCGGCCUAUCAGCUUGUUGGUGAGGUAAUGGCCCACCAAGGCGAUUACAGGUACGGGCUCUGAGAGGAGAAGCCCGGAGAUGGGUACUGAGACACGGACCCAGGCCCUAUGGGGCGCAGCAGGCGAGAAACCUUAGCAAUGUGCGAAAGCACGACUGGGUCAGUCCGAGUGAUUCCUGAUAAAGGAGUCUUUUGCUUGUCCUAAAAGCACAGGUGAAUAAGGGGUGGGCAAGUCUGGUGUCAGCCGCCGCGGUAAUACCAGCACCUCGAGUGGUCAGGACGUUUAUUGGGCCUAAAGCAUCCGUAGCCGGCUUUGCAAGUCUUCGGUUAAAUCCACCUGCUCAACAGAUGGGCCGCUGGAGAUACUACAAAGCUAGGGAGUGGGAGAGGCAGACGGUAUUCAGUGGGUAGGGGUAAAAUCCUCUGAUCCAUUGAGGACCACCAGUGGCGAAGGCGGUCUGCCAGAACACGUUCGACGGUGAGGGAUGAAAGCUGGGGGAGCAAACCGGAUUAGAUACCCGGGUAGUCCCAGCUGUAAACGAUGCAAACUCGGUGAUGCAUUGGCUUAUGGCCAAUGCAGUGCCGCAGGGAAGCCGUUAAGUUUGCCGCCUGGGAAGUACGGACGCAAGUCUAAAACUUAAAGGAAUUGGCGGGGGAGCACCACAAGGGGUGAAGCCUGCGGUUCAAUUGGAUUCAACGCCGGG
rnacentral:rRNA from 1 species